rnacentral:rRNA from 11 species
GCUUACGGCCAUACCACCUUGAGUGCAUCCGAUCUCCGAAGCUUAGCACGGUCGGGCCUGGUUAGUACUUGAAUGGGAGACGGUCUGGGAUUACCAGGUGCUGUAAAAC